rnacentral:tRNA from 1 species
AGCAGCGUGGCUCAGUGGAAAGAGCGUGGGCUUUGGAAUCAGAGAGCGUGGGUUCGAAUCCCGGCUCUGCCA